rnacentral:rRNA from 1 species
CGCUGGCGGCAGGCUUAACACAUGCAAGUCGAGCGGAGCGAGGGUGCUUGCACCUUAGCUUAGCGGCGGACGGGUGAGUAAUGCUUAGGAAUCUGCCUAUUAGUGGGGGACAACGUUUCGAAAGGAACGCUAAUACCGCAUACGUCCUACGGGAGAAAGCAGGGGAUCUUCGGACCUUGCGCUAAUAGAUGAGCCUAAGUCGGAUUAGCUAGUUGGUGGGGUAAAGGCCUACCAAGGCGACGAUCUGUAGCGGGUCUGAGAGGAUGAUCCGCCACACUGGGACUGAGACACGGCCCAGACUCCUACGGGAGGCAGCAGUGGGGAAUAUUGGACAAUGGGGGGAACCCUGAUCCAGCCGCCGCGGUAAUACAAGCCGAUUUCCCAGCACACUA